rnacentral:rRNA from 1 species
GAUGAACGCUGGCGGCGUGCUUAACACAUGCAAGUCGAACGGAAAGGCCCAAGCUUGCUUGGGUACUCGAGUGGCGAACGGGUGAGUAACACGUGGGUGAUCUGCCCUGCACUUCGGGAUAAGCCUGGGAAACUGGGUCUAAUACCGGAUAGGACCACAUUUUGGAUGGGGUGGUGGAAAGUUUUUCGGUGUGGGAGGCGCUCGCGGCCUAUCCGCUUGUUUGUGGGGUAAUGGCCUACCAAGGCGUCGACGGGUAGCCGGCCUGAGAGGGGGUACGGCCACAUUGGGACUGAGAUACGGCCCAGACUCCUACGGGAGGCAGCAGUGGGGAAUAUUGCACAAUGGGCGCAAGCCUGAUGCAGCGACGCCGCGUGGGGGAUGACGGCCUUCGGGUUGUAAACUCCUUUCGCUAGGGACGAAGCGCAAGUGGCGGUACCUGGAGAAGAAGCACCGGCUAACUACGUG